rnacentral:rRNA from 1 species
AAUGAACGUUGGCGGCGUGGAUUAGGCAUGCAAGUCGUGCGAUGAAGCGGUGCUUGCACCGUGGAUUAGCGGCGAAAGGGAGAGUAACGCGUGGAUUACGUACCCUCGGAUCCGGGAUAGCUGCGGGAAACUGCAGGUAAUACCGGAUAACGUCCCCGGACCAAAGGUGUGAUUCCGUCCGAGGAGCGGUCCGCGUCCUACUAGUUUGUUGGUGGGGUAAUGGCCUACCAAGGCAAAGAUGGGUACCGGGUGUGAGAGCAUGACCCGGCUCACUGGGACUGAGACACUGCCCAGACGUCUACGGACGGCUGCAGUCGAGAAUCUUCCGCAAUGGGCGCAAGCCUGACGGAGCGACGCCGCGUGCGGGAUGAAGGCCUUCGGGUUGUAAACCGCUGUCAGUUGGGAGGAAAUGCUAUGGGGUACUCUCCAUAGUUUGACCGAUCUUCAGAGGAAGUACGGGCUAAGUUCGUG